UGGGGAAUAUUGCACAAUGGGCGAAAGCCUGAUGCAGCGACGCCGCGUGAGGGAUGACGGCCUUCGGGUUGUAAACCUCUUUCAGCAGGGACGAAGCGCAAGUGACGGUACCUGCUGAAGAAGCACCGGCUAACUACGUGCCAGCAGCCGCGGUAAUACGUAGGGUGCAAGCGUUGUCCGGAAUUACUGGGCGUAAAGAGUUCGGAGGCGGUUUGUCGCGUCGUUUGUGAAAACCAGCAGCUCAACUGCUGGCUUGCAGGCGAUACGGGCAGGCUUGAGUACUGCAGGGGAGACUGGAAUGCCUGGUGUAGCGGUGAAAUGCGCAGAUAUCAGGAGGAACGCCGGUGGCGAAGGCGGGUCUCUGGGCAGUAACUGACGCUGAGGAACGAAAGCGUGGGUAGCGAACAGG
rnacentral:rRNA from 1 species